GACGAACGCUGGCGGUAUGCCUAAUACAUGCAAGUCGAACGCUGAAGCACUCUGCUUGCAGAGUGUGGAUGAGUGGCGAACGGGUGAGUAACACGUGGGGAACCUGCCCAUAAGAGGGGGAUAACAUCCGGAAACGGGUGCUAAUACCGCAUAGGUGAUCAUAGCGCAUGCUUAGAUCAUUAAAGAUGGCUUCGGCUAUCGCUUAUGGAUGGCCCCGCGGCGUAUUAGCUAGUUGGUGAGGUAAUGGCUCACCAAGGCUGUGAUACGUAGCCGACCUGAGAGGGUGAUCGGCCACACUGGAACUGAGACACGGUCCAGACUCCUACGGGAGGCAGCAGUAGGGAAUCUUCCACAAUGGGCGAAAGCCUGAUGGAGCAAUACCGCGUGAGUGAAGAAGGUCUUCGGAUCGUAAAGCUCUGUUGUUAGAGAAGAACAAGAGGUGUAGUAACUGGCACCUCCUUGACGGUAUCUAACCAGAAAGUCACGGCUAACUACGUGCCAGCCGCCGCAGUAA
rnacentral:rRNA from 1 species